CCAAUAGCGUAUAUUAAAGUUGUUGCAGUUAAAAAGCUCGUAGUUGAAUUUCGGGGUUCUACCGUUGGUCGGGCUAUUGUCUGUACUGGCGUGUAGAAUUUCUACCUUCUGGGGAACUAUCAUGUUAUUAAUUUAGCGUGGUAGGAAACCAGAACCUCUACCUUGAAAAAAUUAGAGUGUUCAAAGCAGGCUUAUGUCUGAAUACAUUAGCAUGGAAUAAUAAAAUAGGACGGUGGUCCUGUUUUGUUGGUUUCUGAAUCACCGUAAUGAUUAAUAGGGAUAGUUGGGGGCAUUAGUAUUCAAUUGUCAGAGGUGAAAUUCUUGGAUUUAUUGAAGACUAACUACUGCGAAAGCAUUUGCCAAGGAUGUUUUCAUUAAUCAAGAACGAAAGUUAGGGGAUCGAAGACGAUCAGAUACCGUCGUAGUCUUAACCAUAAACUAUGCCGACUAGGGAUCGGACGAUGUUAACUUUUCUUGACUCGUUCGGCGCCUUACG
rnacentral:rRNA from 1 species